AUGGGGGAAACCCUGAUGCAGCAACGCCGCGUGAGGUAUGAAGGCCUUUGGGUGUGUGAAGCCUCUGUCCUAGGGGAAGAAAAAAAUGACGGUACCCGAGGAGGAAGCCCCGGCUAACUACGUGCCAGCAGCCGCGGUAAUACGUAGGGGGCAAGCGUUAUCCGGAAUUAUUGGGCGUAAAGAGUGCGUAGGUGGUCUACUAAGCGCGAGGUGAAAGGCAAUGGCUCAACCAUUGUUAGCCUUGCGAACUGGCAGACUUGAGUGCAAGAGAGGAAAGCGGAAUUCCUAGUGUAGCGGUGAAAUGCGCAGAUAUUAGGAGGAACACCGGCGGCGAAGGCGGCUUUCUGGAUUGUAACUGACACUGAGGCACGAAAGCGUGGGUAGCAAACAGGAUUAGAUACCCUGGUAGUCCACGCCGUAAACGAUGAGCACUAGGUGUCGGGACAUGAGUCUCGGUGCCGCAGUUAACGCAAUAAGUGCUCCGCCUGGGGAGUACGCACGCCAGUGUAAAACUCAAAGGAAUUGACGGGGACCGCACAGCAGCGAGCAUGUGGUUAAUCGAGCACGCGAGACUACAGACUGACU
rnacentral:rRNA from 1 species